CUACAAAAAAUUAAUGAAGGGAUGCAGACGGUCCAUUUCACUGCAUCCUGUGAGGGUGGCCUGGCAGAGUUUAAACUGGAAGAUGGUGAUGUUGAUGAAGAGGCACAGAUGGUCCAUUUCACUGCAUCCUGUGAGGGCAGCCCGGCAGAAGUUAAAGUAGAAGAGGAUGUUGAAGAUGAUGGUGACUUCAGGUUGGACCCAGAUUUCAGUCUGCCCCUGAAUGACAG